UCUGAUUGUAUAGGNAGUUUUUGAACUAAAAAANGGAGCAAUAGCUUCCCUCUUGUUUUAUCAAUAGGGUGUUAUUGCUCCUUUUUUUAUUUAGUAUAUUAUUAUAUAGUUUCUUUAAAAAUUAUAUAGUUUCUUUAAAAAUAACAAGGACUUUUUAUAGUUUGGKUCGAGUUACGUGGUUUUUCUUUUUAUUCAUUUAUAUUAUAUAUAUUAUANGNGUUUCUAUAUAAUAUACUUUUACCAAUCUUUUCUGAAGUUUUAUUUCUAAUUCAAUUUCAAUCGGAAAUAGAUCAAAAUUAAAAUUUUUCUUAUUUAUUACUUUAAUUAAUUUAUUUAUUAAAUAAAUUAAAUAAGAAAGAAAUAAUAUGCUUUUUUAUGCUAAGGCUCACGAUCCU
rnacentral:misc_RNA from 1 species